CGCAAGUGUGAAAGGAGCUAUAGAGGUAAGUGGUCUAAUCACAUCCACAAACCCUACUAGCUUGGGGGGUAGUGAGAACACAAAUAGGGACUGGGAAUGAGAGACAUCAUACAGCAGGGAUCCCAUAUGGAUGGUGGAGACACAGGGGCUGAGAACUCUGCACAGACAUAAAGGGCAUUGUGUGGGAGGGAAGAAGUCAUCCAGGGGCAAGUCAGGAUACAUGCAGGAGGACAUCUGUGGACACUGGCAUACCUCUCAGGAGAUGUGAUGGGAGGGUGGUGAAUUGAUCUGUCUAUAGCAGGCACUGGGAGCAUUCUGUCCAUACUAGGGAUCUCCUUAUCUGAUGAUGAUAGGAUCAGAAGAUCAUUACUGACUGUCUCCUCAAACACAUAGACAGAGCCCCACUAGCCAGCAGCUACCUGUGUGUAUCCCACUAGACAGGAGGAUUGAAGCAAGCUCCUGUAGUGAAAUAAACAGGAGGA